AGGUACAGUAUGUCAGGAUUCUGUGAAGGAAUUAAGCUGCAACAUACAACCACCAGAGGGCAUGCAAGUUCCAAUUUUCAGUACAUGCACGUAGGCAAUAGUCGCUCUGGGUUUGUGGGUGAAAGCGCCUUGCCAGCGGAAAUGCCCGGUGACAGCGGGCAAAGGGAGAAACUGGAGCUCUCGACGGUAAAUACUUUGCUUCACCCUGUGUUUUAGCUGGACACGUAAUUUCCCAUUUUCACUACUGUAGUAUACGUACGAUGUAUGUUAAUUGAAAUUAGGAGAUUAGUGAUUCCAAGAAUGUACGGCAGCCGGACGAAUUCCUUCACUUUCAUGACUGAAACGUGUAGCUGAAUUUAGCCUACAUCAUUGAAUAGUGAAUACUGUGAGGCUUGUGUUUAUUCCGGGUAUGAUUAUUGUUCUUUUUCUUAUGAUCUACCCAUGUACAUUUUAUAAUCCGCAGAGUACAGUCAACGAUAUUUGAAUUUGUAGAAAUAGCAUAGGCUACACAGAAUGCGGUAGGCUUUCCUGUUUGACUUGGUUAAGCUACUGCCGUUGCUCGGGCGACGGAGAUGAAUGUCUUGUUGUAGAAGUGAUCUUAUCUAAAUGUGUAGACCUUUAAAACUGAAGUUUCGUGUAGCCAACUUGAUUUUUCUACUGGAGAUAGUUGUUCUUGCGGCUUGUUCGUAUGUACGUUGGUAGGUGGGCUAGGUUGGUAGGAGUAUGUGUGUUUAUACGUCUAUGCGUUCAUUUUCGUGUGGGGGAAUUUUUAAAUUCAGGUGUGAGUAUAAAUCCUUUUUCUGUGACUCACCAAACAACUGUUUGAAAUAAUAUGCCAAUUACAAGUACACAAAAAUAAAUGUGUAACUAGCGUCCUACAAGUAGCCUAAAUGGCCCUGUUUUAGUUUUGUGUAAACCUGAUUCAGAGUUGUCUGUUUCGUAUGCUAGUAGGCCUAGUGGUCUGCAAUUUUCUAAAAGCCUGCAAUAUAAUGUAUGUCAAACCCCACUUUCUGUAGGCUAAAUGCGUGUUUGUUACUGUGUUGGGGACGAGGGUGACGUGUACUUGGUAAAUUCUAUUGUGAGUCUUGUUACAGGUUGCUGUUAUGGUGUGUAUGCAGGUGGCGCUAUAUAGCCUCCAACUGACUGCUCUGGGACUGUCUGCAGUUGUUCCCAAAGAACGGAUUCAAGUAUUUUGUUUCGUGCGCAUUUUCAACCCAUCGAAUCAGCUGCAACGCCGCACCGUCUACCAGACUCAGGUUUUAUUAACUCCCUAGCACGAGACGGCUGCCGUGGCGCGAAUGCCUGAUACAGGUCUUUGGAGCUCCGAGGGGUCCUGCGCCAGAGAAAAGCUCUGGCUUUAUGAACCUUCCCAAGGGAGAAGUCUCAGAUGACCCGCGUGAACGCCACUCGGGCGAACUUCUUGAAAGAGAUUCACGAGUUCAUGCCAUUUGUGUUGGGAAUUAGAACCAAAGAUCUUUUUAUUUCUUUUUAGAUUCUGUCGCUGUGACACCCACUUGAGGUGUUGGAUUGGAGAUGGAUACUGGACGGAAAGUUCCCAAUUUAGUCUAUGGGCUUUUAAAAGUCAUUCAUUUCGAUCAACAUUUGUCCUUAACUAACUAACAAUAAAAAUAAAAAAAAACAAUUUCUUCACAUUUUUACGAGUUCAGUCAUUACUUAAACUAAAUCGCCAAACCAAGUUAGUAAAGAAAAAGUGUCAUACUUGUAUUUACUUGUAUGUCAAAUUUAAAGAUAAAGGUUGAUUGUAUACAGGUCUAGGUAUCUCUGUUAGAAAGUUAUACUGGUGAUUAACCAUCUUUUUAGCAUGUGCGCAAACUGUCCAUAGGUACAGUAUCAAGGAAAGCUGCAGCCCCAUCUCGGCUUCAACCCAUGUACCUUUGUAGUGUAUAAGUAACUAGAGAUUGCAUCCAAACGGUGAAACCCUCUUCUAAACAUAAUAACAUCUGUUUGGUAGUGAAUAACAUGUGAGUCCCAUCCUAUUGUACGGUUUUCUACGUGCCAGCUGAUUGCUGUGUGUGGAAUCGUAAAGACAAAAUGUGUAUUCUGUGUUUGAGAAAAAAUAAAAUAUGAUUCAUUUUA